GAUGAACGCUGGCGGCGUGCCUAAUACAUGCAAGUCGAGCGAACAGACGAGGAGCUUGCUCCUCUGACGUUAGCGGCGGACGGGUGAGUAACACGUGGAUAACCUACCUAUAAGACUGGGAUAACUUCGGGAAACCGGAGCUAAUACCGGAUAAUAUAUUGAACCGCAUGGUUCAAUAGUGAAAGACGGUUUUGCUGUCACUUAUAGAUGGAUCCGCGCCGCAUUAGCUAGUUGGUAAGGUAACGGCUUACCAAGGCAACGAUGCGUAGCCGACCGGAGAGGGGGAUCGGCCACCCUGGAACUGAGACACGGUCCAGACUCCUACGGGAGGCAGCAGUAGGGAAUCUUCCGCAAUGGGCGAAAGCUUGACGGAGCAACGCCGCGUGAGUGAUGAAGGUCUUCGGAUCGUAAAACUCUGUUAUUAGGGAAGAACAAAUGUGUAAGUAACUAUGCACGUCUUGACGGUACCUAAUCAGAAAGCCACGGCUAACUACGUG
rnacentral:rRNA from 1 species